rnacentral:rRNA from 1 species
GAUGAACGCUGGCGGCGUGCCUAAUACAUGCAAGUCGAGCGAACAGAUGAGAAGCUUGCUUCUCUGAUGUUAGCGGCGGACGGGUGAGUAACACGUGGGUAACCUACCUAUAAGACUGGGAUAACUCCGGGAAACCGGGGCUAAUACCGGAUAAUAUUUUGAACCGCAUGGUUCGAUAGUGAAAGACGGUUUCGGCUGUCACUUAUAGAUGGACCCGCGCCGUAUUAGCUAGUUGGUAAGGUAAUGGCUUACCAAGGCGACGAUACGUAGCCGACCUGAGAGGGUGAUCGGCCAGACUGGAACUGAGACACGGUCCAGACUCCUACGGGAGGCAGCAGUAGGGAAUCUUCCGCAAUGGGCGAAAGCCUGACGGAGCAACGCCGCGUGAGUGAUGAAGGCCUUCGGAUCGUAAAACUCUGUUGUUAGGGAAGAACAAAUUUGUUAGUAACUGAACAAGUCUUGACGGUACCUAACCAGAAAGCCACGGCUAACUACGUGCCAGCAGCCGCCGUAA